CUGGCAUCCUAUUUUGUUGGUUUCUAGGGUACCGGUAAUGAUCAAUUGGGAUAGUUGGGGGCAUUCAUAUUCAAUUGUCAGAGGUGAAAUUCUUGGAUUUAUUGAAGAUGAACUAGUGCGAAAGCAUUUGCCAAGGAUGUUUUCGUAGGUCAAGAACGAAAGUAGCGGGAUCGAAGACGAUCAGAUACCGUCGUAGUCUCUACCGUAAACGAUGCCGACUAGGGAUUGGCGGACGUUAUUCUUUGAUGACUCCGUCAGCACCUUCCGAGAAAUCAAAGUUUUUGGGUUCCGGGGGGAGUAUGGUCGCAAGGCUGAAACUUAAAGGAAUUGACGGAAGGGCACCACCAGGAGUGGAGCCUGCGGCUUAAUUUGACUCAACACGGGGAAACU
rnacentral:rRNA from 1 species